rnacentral:rRNA from 1 species
UACGUAGGUGGCAAGCGUUAUCCGGAAUACUGGGCGUAAAGCGCACGCAGGCGGUCUUUUAAGUUUGACGUGAAAGCUCCCGGCUUAACUGGGAGAGGUCGUUGAAGACUGGAAGACUUGAGGCAAUGAGAGGGGUGUAGAAUUCCCGGUGUAGUGGUGGAAUGCGUAGAUAUCGUAAGGAAGACCAGUGGCGAAGGCGGGUCUCUGGACAGUUCCUGGACACUGAGGCACGAAGGCAGGGGAGCAAACGGGAUUAGAACUACCGAGUACGGUCCAG